rnacentral:tRNA from 1 species
GGUCACAUAUUCUAGGAGAUAAGGAGUCUGAUUUGGGGUCAUAAGACUAAAGGUUCGAAUCCCUCUGUGAUUG